GAUGAACGCUGGCGGCGUGCCUAAUACAUGCAAGUCGAGCGAACGGACGAGAAGCUUGCUUCUCUGAUGUUAGCGGCGGACGGGUGAGUAACACGUGGAUAACCUACCUAUAAGACUGGGAUAACUUCGGGAAACCGUAGCUAAUACCGGAUAAUAUUUUGAACCGCAUGGUUCAAAAGUGAAAGACGGUUUUGCUGUCCCUUAUAGAUGGAUCCGCGCUGCAUUAGCUAGUUGGUAAGGUAACGGCUUACCAAGGCAACGAUGCAUAGCCGACCUGAGAGGGUGAUCAGCCACACUGGAACUGAGACACGGUCCAGACUCCUACGGGAGGCAGCAGUAGGGAAUCUUCGGCAAUGGGCGAAAGCCUGACGGAGCAACGCCGCGUGAGUGAAGAAGGUCUUCGGAUCGUAAAGCUCUGUUAUUAGGGAAGAACAUAUGUGUAAGUAACUGUGCACAUCUUGACGGUACCUACUCAGAAAGCCACGGCUAACUACGUG
rnacentral:rRNA from 1 species